AAUAUGGACAAGAAAGGCAAGUCUGAUCCAGCCAUGCCAAGCCAGGAAGACUGCCCUAUGGGUUAUAAACUACUUUUAUAGAGGAAGAUACCCCGAUAUGUAUAUCGGUCUGACGGUACUAUACGAAUAAGGAUCGGCUAAGUCCGUGCCAGCAGCUAAGGUAAUACGGAGGAUCCAAGCUUUAUCCGGAAUCAUUGGGUUUAAAGGGUUCGUAGGCGGUAUUGUAAGUCAGAAAUGAAAGUUUUCGGCUCAACCGGAAAAUUGCCAUUUAUACUGCAAGACUUGAAGUGAGUGAAGUGGAUAGAAUGUGUAGGGUAGGAAUUAAGAGAAUAGAUAUUACACAGAAUACGGAAGGGAGGGCAGAUCACUAACAAUAUACUGACGGUUAGGGACGAAAGGGUGGGAAACGGACUUAAUUCGCUACUUUGGUCGCACA
rnacentral:rRNA from 1 species